rnacentral:rRNA from 1 species
UACGGGGGGAGCAAGCGUUGUUCGAAUUUACUGGGCGUAAAGGGCGCGUAGGCGGCCACCGCAAGUCGGUUGUGAAAUCUCUGGGCUUAACCCAGAAAGGUCAACCGAUACUGCGGGGCUAGAGUGCAGAAGGGGCAACUGGAAUUCUCGGUGUAGCGGUGAAAUGCGUAGAUAUCGAGAGGAACACCUGCGGCGAAGGCGGGUUGCUGGGCUGACACUGACGCUGAAGCGCGAAAGCUAGGGGAGCGAACGGG